UACAUGGUACGUCAGUUUCCCCUUCUGCAAAAUGGCAACUAUAGGGUGGUACCUAACCAUGGGUUAUUUUAAGGGUAGGACUAGCACACUGUGAAUGUUGAUAUUUGUUCAGCAGAAAGGCAUGUAUUCAUUUUUGCCCCUUUGAGUCAUACUGUCCACUGAAAGCCACACAACUUAUCUGUGCAAGCCGCUCUGAACCCCACCUCCAUCGUUCUGAGUCACACAGCUGCAUUUUAAACACAAGCCGAGGCCUUGACAGUGAUUUCUGGUCAGUCUCACUUGGUGAGAUGCAGCCUGUGGCGCCAGCCUGUCAGCCUCCUUUCUGUUCUGAUGAGGGAGGGAGAGGUCGUAUGAUGCAGGCUAAGUUCAAUUUUGUGGCUACAGAAAGGGCCGUGGAUGGUACUUUUACCAACCCCUUAUCAUCUGAUGAAUGACUCUGUCUGGAGAGGCUGCCAGAAAAGGGGAAGGGCAAGUGCAUGGACAUCCUGGAGUCUCUCCUGCAGAUACGUGGAGUGGAUGAGAUCAUCAGCUGGCAGGUGUCUGUUGUCCCUUUUGGGUCAAAGGACCACAGCGGCACUCAGUCCAAAGGAGUCAUGUGGAACUCAAAUACCAAGAUGAGGUGAAGCUGAGAACACCCCUGGAUGCCUUCUUUUCAUCACUGUGAGCCAUCCUACCACAGCUGUGACCGACAAUCUUCACUAUCAGUUUGGCUGGACUUAAGUCACCAUGGAAGCACAACUUUGAGCGUGUCUAUGAGGGUGUCUCCAGAAAGGUGCAACCAACGAGGGAAGCCCCACCCUGAAUGUGGGUCACUGUCCCAUGGGCUGGGGUCCUGGCGUGAAUGAAAGGAGAAAGCCUGGUAAACACAGGAGCCAGCUCUUUGUUCCCUGGCUGUGGAUACAAUGUGGCCAGGUGCCUCACAGUCCUGUCUCCUUGUCUUCCCUGCCAAAUUGAGCUGCACUUUUAAACUGUAAAUCCUAGUAAACCCUUCCUCCCUUAAGUUGCUUUUGUCGUGUAUUUUGUUACAGCUUGAGAAAAGUAACCAAUACAAUGCCUCCUUUGUAG
rnacentral:lncRNA from 1 species